GUCUUUUUCUCUUAAAAUGAAUGAAGAACGGCCUCCAUUUCCUCAAAAAAUUCACCAUUUAAACGUCAUUUUCUCCGGACGAAGAAGCUAAAAAUUUCACCAUCUAAAAAGCUUGAAGUGCUUUUGGCUGAUAAUUGACCAAAUUAACCUGUCUCCCCCCUCCCCCCCAAAAAAAAAAAACGUUCUUUCCUUUUUUGUGAAAGCUCUAUACCCAUUUUUUUCACAUUUUCGCUGUGAAAGCUGUUUCCUGUUCUUUGUUCCUCUUCCACAGAAUGAAGACCCAGGCUUGGAAUAUGAGCUAUCAGUACUGCGACAAGCAAUAGAUUUAGGAUUUACUUAUUUCUUGGCACAUGGAGAUUUGAGGGCGAAAAAGAACUCCCUUUUCAUCAAGAAACUCGUCAUAAACUACUUCUACGCGUUCCUGUGGAGAAACUGUCGAGUUGGUGCAGCAAAUAUGAGUGUACCUCGCAUGAAUAUCUUGCAAGUGGGCAUGACAUACAUGGUUUGAUGAGAGUUGCCAUCGAUUCAGAGCUGCCAUUUUCUUGUUGAUUCAAAGUAUUGUUUUUGAGCUCAAUAAGUUUGAGAAUUAAGCCAUGCAUAAGAAUCAAAUAUUUUGACAUUCACAAUUGGCCGCCAGUGGAAAUUUUGCACUGAAUCUGUUGUUUGUGCGUAGUAUACUUUCAUUUUUCCUUGGCUUCUUCGAGUUUAGCUUUUCAGGCAAGUCCAUUGACAAACACUUUCUAGAUUUACAACUCAAGUGCACGUUAUAUUCAAUUUGUAAAUGCUACUGUAAAAUUUUUAGUAUUUAUAUUUGGUAUAUAAAUAUUAUCCCUUUUUAAAA